UGGGGAAUCUUGGGCAAUGGGCGCAAGCCUGACCCAGCAAUACCGCGUGAGGGAUGAAGGCCUUCGGGUCGUAAACCUCUGUCAGUAGGAACGAUGGGUUUCCGGGCUAAUAUCCCGGAGACUUGACGGUACUUACAAAGGAAGCCCCGGCUAACUCCGUGCCAGCAGCCGCGGUAAUACGGAGGGGGCGAGCGUUGCUCGGAAUUACUGGGCGUAAAGGGUCCGCAGGUGGCCUCGUAAGUUAGAUGUG
rnacentral:rRNA from 1 species